CUGGAGGAUUGAGGAAAACACCAUACAAUCUAGCAGCAUCAGACACCAGGAGGAUCCUGUGGUCUACAGAGAAGACCAUGAAGACUGAAGGGCUUUUCCCAGAACUAGAAAGGCAUUUAUAGAGAAUGUCUUUCUGUCCAGAUGCAAGCUAACCCAAAUGUCUUGGAUCGUGAGAACUGCAGUUACAAAUAAGAAGGCAAUAUAGAUUUGUGGAUUUUACGAAGUAUCAGACUGUUUUGUUCCAACGCAACCAGGAGGUACUUUGAUUUAGAAAAUAGGAAAAGGUUACUCCACAAGGAUUUGCGCAACAGGGUGAGACUCAAUAUGAGGAAAGGUGGCAGAUCCUGUUCGAAACUGAGAACCAGAUGAGGCCAUUGGGCACAGGCCUCAGUGGGCGGUGACGAAUAGACACUCCUGCCAAGAAGGUGCACCAAAAAGCAUCAUGACCACUGGGAGAUCCAAUUCCUUCCAGGAAUCUCCUGUUAUGAGGAGGAAAAGGGAGUAAUUUGCAGUGCCCCUUUGCAAGGUGCAGCUCCUAACCCUGUAUGUCUAUAAAGCACUUCUGGUCAGUGCAAAGGGAGUAUGGAACCUUGGCUCUCUGCCCAUUCCCCAUUCACUAGCUCCUGUGGGGAAAGGGGGAGCAUUUCUAGUGCUGCCCCUGCACUUCUUGAGCCCAGAAGCUAUAAUCCAGGCUGUGUGUAUGCACCAAUCAGAUCCUUACUUUUUCCUACUUCCCUGAACAGCUGCAUCAUAGCUAGACACAGAAACUCAGAAUAGCUAACAGACAACUUUAAUACAGAAACAUGUUUCUUCUUAUGAGGCAAAGGCUAGACCACUCUGUGGGCACUUCACACACCUGGCUGCUUCCGCGUGUACUUUUAAGUAUGUUUGUUCCAUACAUUUAGUAGCAGCGAGUAUGUAUUAGCAUUUUUAAAAAAGUUUCUCCCUGACUUCAUCAAUUGGGACAUUAACUAACAUUCAGUUUAUGAAGACAAAAGGAAGAGAAUUAAUAGAAUGGAAAUGCCCCUAUGAUGUAAUCCAUUUAAGUACUACUAAUGUGCCACACAAUCAAUUGUUACUAAGUUGUAUGUGCAACAUAGAGAGAGGAGGCACUGACAGCAGAGGGGGAAAAAGAAAAACAGCUAUAGAAUAAGAGGGAAAAAGCCCCAACUUCCAAACUAAACCCCAACCCUCCCUUGCCACAACUUCCCUCCCUCUUCCUAUCUUUCACCCCCUGCCCCACUCCAAGCCCUCCCACACUCUCCAAACCCCUCACUGCUUAUGGCCAAGUGCAGGCACUGAGUCUGUCACUUCCCUUUACUCACAAGACAUCCCUCAUUUAGUUGAUGUGAGCAGAGGCAGCAGCAAGGAGCAGACAGAAUGGAGGAAAGUGACUUUAAAGCCAAUUGAUUUUGCUCCCCCUCACUUGGAAGGAUGGGGGGAGGCUGAUGGGCAAUGUGGGGGCUCAGGAAGACAAAAGGGGUCUGAAAGAGAAGCAUGGACCAGAGCUGAUGAAGUGAGGGGGCUUCUGAGUUUGGUAGGGAAAGUUGUCAGGUCAGGUCCUAAGGUGGAGUAAAUUGGCUUCAAUGGAACUUUACUUAGGAACUGUCCCUGUCCCUGUCUCUGUGGGAGGGCAAGGGGGCUCACCUGGGAGAAAAUGUCUGCUUGAGGGGCCUGAAUUUUCAGGGUGCAAACAUUUGGUUGAUCCACACCUAGGGUAGCCUCAAUCUGCCUGUACCCUCGGUAUUACAAAAGGAAGAACCCCUGUCUUUUCCUAUUGUUCUGUAGUUGCGAAUUUCUGAACUGGUGACAUUGACUUUUAGGAGGCAUUAGUUAAAGGAUGAAGUUUGAAGGCUCAGUUACACCAGGGUAAAUCCUGGGCCCAAUUCUCCAUUGGCCUGUACCACAUUUAGUAAUUUAUGCUGGUCCUAGUGAGGAAAAGGUGUAAAGCAGAAUAGCAGCACCUUAUACCCACAUUGCACUGGCAGAAAUGACUGUAUUACAACAGAGAAUCAAGCCCUCCAGAUGUCAGCAUCUUUAUUUUGAAACGGCACUGGAGAGAGAAAGAUGAAUUUGGCCCCUGGACUCUAGAACUAGUUCUUAUUCUCAGAACUUUAACAUCCCAUUUCUCCUUGAAAAAAAAUGUUCUCCCCAGUCAGAGACAGGCAAGAUCAGUGAUCCAAAUGCAAAUAUUUCACAGUCUCUUGCUCAAGCACAGAUGAACGGCUGGCAUGAAGAAUGUGUCCACGGGAGAUGCGAGAUGCCCUGGGGUACUCUACUCUCUUAAGUGGAUCACUCUGUGGCUCUUUUCCAAGUAAAGGUGCAGGAGUGAGUGUUUGAAAACAUUUGUUGAGUAUGUUGGCAGAGGUCACACCAGAAAGAGUGAGCAGUUCAACCUACUCAAAUGCACAGGAGAAAAAUUAACUGAUGGCAAGACUCGGAGAAAGAAAGAAAGAAAAAAAAACUACAGCAAAGUUCAGAGCUGCUAAUUCAGCCCUCUACUAAAUUAGGAAGAGGCCAUCUGUUAGUUCCAAGAAAAAAUCCCUUAAAUGAUGAACAGAGUCAUUUAGAGCAAUUCAAAAGAAGUGUGAAUUGCUGGAGCAAGUCUACUGGCUAAUGUGUGCUGUGUAAUGGCUCAGACAGCAUAGAUACAUUUACUCCAGAAAUGUAUCCCUGUGCUGGGAAAAAAAAUACACAGCUCUCAGAGCUGGCAGCACCAAACUGAGGCUCUUUUAGGACUCAGGAACCAGAAGUGUCUGGGGAGGGGAGGCUUUGCAAACAAAGAAAACAUCUAGAGAGAAGUUUCUGGGUUGGCUGCUUUUUGUUCCCUCUCUAAAUUUUCCAUCCCUAGGUGCUGACCCUGUGGGAGCUCCAGGGCUCAAGCACCCACUGAAAAAAAAAUAGGGGGUGCUCAGCACUUGCUGGGCCAGAUUAAUCUUUUGUGGACCCCCGGUGCUCAGAUUGUGGCUUCACCCACGCUCUGUCCCCAGGCCCUGCCUCUGCUCAGUCUCUUCCCUCUGAA